rnacentral:rRNA from 1 species
CUCGCCGGUCAUAGGGCGGGGGGAAACGCCCAGACCCAUCCGAACCUGGAAGCUAAGCCCCUGCCCGCGCGGUUUUUAGUGAGGUGGGAGACCCCUCGCGAAGACCGCGUGCCGGCGAGC